rnacentral:rRNA from 1 species
UACGUAGGGUGCGAGCGUUAAUCGGAAUUACUGGGCGUAAAGCGUGCGCAGGCGGUUUUGUAAGCCAGAUGUGAAAUCCCCGGGCUUAACCUGGGAACUGCAUUUGGGACUGCAAGGCUAGAGUACGGCAGAGGGGGGUAGAAUUCCUGGUGUAGCAGUGAAAUGCGUAGAUAUCAGGAGGAAUACCGAUGGCGAAGGCAGCCCCCUGGGUCGAUACUGACGCUCAUGCACGAAAGCGUGGGGAGCAAACAGG